ensembl:lncRNA
AAGUCAUGUUCUGUAUGGUCUGAUUCCUAAACAUUAUUUGUGUGUAAAAGUUGUGGCAGAGUUUGUGAUGUUCGAACAGGGUGAGGUAGUAGGUUGUGUGGUUUCGGGGUAGUGAUUUUGCCCGAUCAGAAGAUAACUAUACAACAUACUGCCUUCCCUGAAGGGCAGCAAUACUUCACCGUACAGACAACAGAACCUGGAAGGAGCUCAGCCAAUCACAGCGUCUCAAGUCACCAGCAGAAAUGUUUGGAAACAUCUCUAAAAACUAAAAAACAGACCUGACCACCUUCGUGGGAUCCGGGGGUCCGCCCUGAGCAGAGCAGAUGGACAGAGGAUCUGUGGCCUAAUCUCACCUCCUGCACUGCAGCAUGAUUCAUAUGGCAACAGAUGACGGGUGCAGUAGCUCUCUGGCCAACGGCACACACACACACACACACACACACACACACACACACACACACACACACUGAUGACGAGGUGAAUACCAGCCGGUAUCCGACCAGCUCGCCCUCAGGUGGGCCUUACUGUCUGCUGCUGCAGCUCCGUAUCUCGUAUCAAGGUCACUCACGGUGAGACCCCUCGAUCUUCACCACCAGUGAUCAACUGUGUGUCAAAGUGAACGUCUUAACAUGCAACAAUAAAUACGAUUCCACUGUGCACUGUCUCCCAGUCUUUGGGUACGCAGACAAGUAUUAGUAUUAUUACACCACACAUGCUGAACCGGUGAGAAGGGUUAUAUCACAGAACAUCAGUGGAGCAGCAAAAGAAGAAUACCAAUGUACUGUAUCCUCUCUGUGUGCAACACUGUUGGAUGUGUGUGUGUGUGUGUGUGUGUGUGUGUGGGCUGCACUCACUGUAGCCGUCCCCUGCCAGCCACCAUAUUGAAUUGGUUUGAGCCUUGGCCCUGGUGAUAGUGCUGAAUACUAAAGCCGGGUGGGACAAUGGCUCUGUGUGCAUCCCGUCUCUGGGGUUGCACCACCCGUCAUCUCCUCCCGCUUCACCGACAACGCUGCGACGACCAUCUGGUACAUUCUUCUCCUGUGAGAAAAGGAACUAAUGAAAAGAUCUCAAGAGUCCAUCGGAAACAUUUCAGUCCAGAAUUCAAUAAUAUACUAUUAUAUACUAUUCUAUGCUUUUGCUGCCCUUCAUAUGAUGUCAUGGCUGUAUAAAAGUGUUAUCGAUCAAAUGUAAGUGGAGCGGGUUGAAGGCUCUGAGUGGGCGGGACCCUCGAAUAAACCACUCAGCAGAGUGCAUUUGCUGGAAGGAAGAAAAGCUAUUCCUGUGUCUAUGUAGAAAGAGCCAGCUUAAUCUGUGUAAUGGUGAUUAAAAAAAAUAUAUAUAUUAUUCCGGCUGAAAUGUAGGGCAUGGAAAUAAAAUGAUGCGUCUCAUUUGCUCAA